AUUGAACGCUGGCGGCAGGCCUAACACAUGCAAGUCGAGCGAGCGGCGGACGGGUGAGUAAUGUCUGGGAAACUGCCUGAUGGAGGGGGCUAACUACUGGAAACGGUAGCUAAUACCGCAUACCAUCAGAUGUGCCCAGAUUGGAUUAGCUAGGAGGUGGGGUAAUGGCUCACCUAGGCGACGAUCCCUAGCUGGACUGAGAGGAUGACCAGCCACACUGGAACGGUGACACGGUCCAGACUCCUACGGGAGGCAGCCGUGGGGAAUAUUGCACAAUGGGCUCAAGCCUGAUGCAGCCAUGCCUCGUUUGUGAAGAAGGCCUUCGGGUUGGAAAGCACGUUAAGCGUGGAGGCGUUACCCUCAGAAGAAGCACCGGCUAACUCCGUGCCAGCAGCCGCGGUAAUUC
rnacentral:rRNA from 1 species